GAAGUAAACAAAAUGAAAGAUAUUAGCAUCGAUUUUUUUCCUGCAUUAUUUAUGUAUUAGAAAACAGUUGGCAUCAGCAUGUUCGCAUACUUUGUUAUCUUUGCUUCAUUUCAACACGAUUGGAGUAUAGCACAGAAAGGUGGCUGUGACGAUAAUAGGAAUGGAUGUUGUUCUGGCACAAUUUGGAAUGAAACACUCGGCAAAUGCACAGGAUGCAUGCCAGGAUACCUUGGCCAGAACUGCAAUAAAACCUGUAAAUAUCCACGUUACGGUAUGCUCUGUAUGGGGAAGUGUGACUGUGAAAACGAUAGCUGUAACUUUAUGACCGGAUGUCCCAACCAUGGUUUGAUUAGCAUGUACUCAAUGAAGAGAUUUUAAUAAGUAUUUGGUGAAGGAUAAAGUACAUCGGUUGUUAAUAAAUCAAAGAGAGCAACCUAAUGAAUGUUAUUUUGAAAUCUCGGUAGCUAGGGAGAAAUAGUUUGCAGAAGUAAAAUAACACGAACCUUUGUUUGCCAUGGUAAAAAGGAAUUUUGAUAAUUGUCACUGAACAUUUUAACAAUACCACUAGAAUUUUACAUUUACAUAUGAACAUUUCAGAGUCAUCAACGAUGUUAGAACUAUCAAGCUUCAUCUCUCGAGAUCGACAAACGUCAGCAGAUAGGAUGCGUUUAAAGACUGGAUAUGCGGUUUACAGAUUAUGCGUUUUACAAACAUGAUGCGUUUACAUACAUGAUGCGUUUACAGACAGCAUGUGUUGCAGACAGCAUGCGUUUUACAGACAUGUUGCGUUUUACAGAC